rnacentral:rRNA from 1 species
UACAGAGGGGGCAAGCGUUAUUCGGAAUUAUUGGGCGUAAAGCGCGUGUAGGCGGAUGGACAAGCCUGAGGUGAAAGGUUGGGGCUCAACCCCAUACAGUGCCUUGGGGACUGUUCGUCUGGAGGCCGGCAGAGGAGAGUGGAAUUCCUGGUGUAGCGGUGGAAUGCGUAGAGAUCAGGAAGAACACCCAUGGCGAAGGCAGCUCUCUGGGCCGGUACUGACGCUGAGACGCGAAAGCGCGGGGAGCGAACGGG